rnacentral:rRNA from 1 species
AGUUCUUGUAGCACUUAUCCCUUUGAAUUAAUACAUUGUGAUUUAUGGACCUCUCCCAUUGCAAGUGUUUCGGGUUUUAAAUACUACCUUGUUAUCCUAGAUGAUUUCACCCACUUUGUCUGGACUUUUCCUCUACGCAACAAAUCCGAGGUCCAUUCUCUUUUCCUUAAUUUUCAACGCUAUGUGUCUGUUCACUUCUUCCUCCCAAUUCGCUUUAUCCAAUGUGACAAUGGUCGCGAGUUUGAUAACAUUAAAAAUCAUACUUUCUUCUUACAACAUGGAAUCCUGCUUAGGUUCUCAUGUCCCUACACCUCCCCUCAAAAUGGUAAAGCAGAACGCUCUCUUCGCACCCUCAAUGAUAUAGUUCGCACUCUCCUCAUUCAAUCAUCUAUGCCUCCCAAGUUUUGGGCUGAAGCCCUACACAUGGCCACCUUCCUUCUAAAUAUUCGACCUUCUAAAACUAAACCCAACACUACUCCCUAUUAUUCCCUCUUUCUUUCCCACCCCGACUACUCCGCGGUUCGUGUUUUCGGCUGUCUCUGUUUUCCCAAUUCCUACGCCACUUCUGCAAAUAAAUUGUCACCACGCUCUAUCCCAUGUGCUUUUCUCGGCUUCUCUGACGAGCAUAAAGGCUAUCGCUGUCUCGACCUUCACACCGGACACGUUCAUGUGUCUCGUCAUGUCACGUUUGCUGAGCACAUUUUUCCUUUCUCACAACGCACUACUACACCACCCAACACCCCUAGCUCCGCAAACACCCCCUCUCCCCGUCCUUUCCAACUAUAUACUCCCCUACCUGCCGAACACAACUUAUCACCACCACCAUUAACACCCACCAUAGCCAAUCCC